UGGCUCAGGACGAACGCUGGCGGCGCGCUUAACACAUGCGAGUCGAGCGAGAACCAGGGCUUCGGCCCUGGGGACAGCGGCGAACGGGUGAGUAACACGUGGGUAAUCUGCCCUUGACAUCGGGAUAGCCCGGGGAAACCCGGAUUAAUACCGAAUAGCCUCCGGAGCCUUCGGGCGCCGGAGAAAAGGUAGCUUCGGCCUCUGGUCAAGGAUGAGCCCGCGGCGGAUUAGCUUGUUGGCGGGGUAACGGCCCACCAAGGCGACGAUCCGUAGCUGGUCUGAGAGGACGAUCAGCCACACUGGGACUGAGACACGGCCCAGACUCCUACGGGAGGCAGCAGUGGGGAAUCUUGCGCAAAUGCGGGAAACCGUGACGCAGCGACGCCGCGUGGGGGAAGAAGGCCUUCGGGUUGUAAACCUCUUUCAGGAGGGACGAAGCUACUCGGGUGAAUAGCCCAGAGGGUGACGGUACCUUCAGAAGAAGCCCCGGCUAACUACGUGCCAGCAGCCGCGGUAAUACGUAGGGGGCUAGCGUUGUCCGGAUUUAUUGGGCGUAAAGAGCGUGUAGGCGGCUUGGUAGGUCUGCUGUGAAAACUCGAGGCUCAACCUCGAGCUGUCGGCGGAAACCACUUGGCUAGAGUCCGGAAGAGGAGAGUGGAAUUCCUGGUGUAGCGGUGAAAUGCGCAGAUGACAGGAAGAACACCUAUGGCGAAGGCAGCUCUCUGGGACGGUACUGACGCUGAGACGCGAAAGCGUGGGGAGCGAACAGGAUUAGAUACCCUGGUAGUCCACGCUGUAAACGAUGGGUGCUAGGUGUGGGCGGUGUCGACUCCGUCCGUGCCGCAGCUAACGCAUUAAGCACCCCGCCUGGGGAGUACGGCCGC
rnacentral:rRNA from 1 species